GGGGGGGGUAAGCGUUGUUCGGAAUUACUGGGCGUAAAGGGCUCGUAGGCGGCCAACUAAGUCAGACGUGAAAUCCCUCAGCUUAACUGGGGAACUGCGUCUGAUACUGGAUGGCUUGGAUUCGGGAGAGGGAUGCGGAAUUCCAGGUGUAGCGGUGAAAUGCGUAGAUAUCUGGAGGAACACCGGUGGCGAAGGCGGCAUCCUGGACCGAUAUUGACGCUGAGGAGCGAAAGCCAGGGGAGCAAACGGGAUUAGAUACCCCGGUAGUCCUGGCCCUAAACGAUGAAUGCUUGGUGUAGCGGGUAUCGAUCCCUGCUGUGCCGAAGCUAACGCAUUAAGCAUUCCGCCUGGGGAGUACGGUCGCAAGGCUG
rnacentral:rRNA from 2 species